GGGGUGGUGGCGCAGUUGGCUAGCGCGUAGGUCUCAUAAUCCUGAGGUCGAGAGUUCGAGCCUCUGUCACCCCA
rnacentral:tRNA from 1 species